GGAGGUAGUGACAAUAAAUCACAAUGCGGAACUUUUUAGUUUUGCAAUUGGAUUGAGAACAAUGUACAAAUGUUAUCGAUAAACAAUUGGAGGGCAAGUCUGGUGCCAGCAGCCGCGGUAAUUCCAGCUCCAAUAGCGUAUAUUAACGUUGUUGCAGUUAAAAAGCUCGUAGUUGAAAUGUGGGAUGAUUGUUAUGAUGAAUCUAUGUAUUCGAUUAUAAUAUGAAUCCCCUCUCCAAUUUAUUAUUAUGGGUAUUAAUUUAUUUGUAAUAAGAAUUGGUCAUUUACUGUGAGAAAAUUAGAGUGUUCAAAGCAGGCAUUUGCUUGAAUAGAUUAGCAUGGAAUAAUAGUAAAAGGCUUUUAUGGUGCUUAAUUGGUUUAAUCAUAGAAGCAAGAUUAAAAGGAACAGUUGGGGGUAUUCAUAUUCAAUAGUUAGAGGUGAAAUUCUCGGAUUUAUGGAAGAUGAACAAGUGCGAAAGCA
rnacentral:rRNA from 2 species